rnacentral:rRNA from 1 species
GACGAACGCUGGCAGCGUGCUUAACACAUGCAAGUCGAACGGUAAGGCCCUUCGGGGUACACGAGUGGCGAACGGGUGAGUAACACGUGGGUGAUCUGCCCUGCACUUCGGGAUAAGCCUGGGAAACUGGGUCUAAUACCGGAUAGGACCACUGCCUGCAUGGGUGGUGGUGGAGAGCUUUUGCGGUGUGGGAUGGGCCCGCGGCCUAUCAGCUUGUUGGUGGGGUGAUGGCCUGCCAAGGCGACGACGGGUAGCCGGCCUGAGAGGGUGACCGGCCACACUGGGACUGAGAGACGGCCCAGACUCCUACGGGAGGCAGCAGUGGGGAAUAUUGCACAAUGGGCGCAAGCCUGAUGCAGCGACGCCGCGUGAGGGAUGACGGCCUUCGGGUUGUAAACCUCUUUCAGCACCGACGAAGCGCAAGUGACGGUAGGUGCAGAAGAAGGACCGGCCAACUACGUGCCAGCAGCCGCCGUAA